AUGGCGACGUUGAGGCCGCUGACUGUGGAGGAUGUGUUGAGGGUGAACGGCAGCCGCCGCUUUGCUGCUGCACUGGCCGCUGCCUCCCCCUUCGAUUCUCUCGCGAACACACUCCUCACCGCCCGCCGCAUCUGGCUCAACGAGGUAGACGUGACUGGAUGGCUGGAGGCCUUCGCUGCCCACCCGCCCAUUGGAACCACCUCCUCAUCCGUCUCCAAGUGGAGCAAGGAAGAGCAAUCAGCUGCGCUUUCCACAGCCACUGAUUCGACCGCGCAGGAGUUGUCCGAGUGGAAUGCCAAAUACAGGGAGAAGUUUGGGUUUGUGUUCAUGAUAUGCGCGUCUGGGAGGACUGCCCCUGAGGUCUUAGCUGAGCUUAAGAGGCGUUAUGCAAAUAGGCCAAUUGUUGAGCUUGAGGCUGCGGCAGAGGAAGAACUGAAGAUAACUGAGCUGCGUCUUGCAAAGCUUUUCUCAGCAGAAACUGCUGCUCCCCCUACUUCAGGUGAAAAUCAUAUUAGCCAACCGGAUAAAGCAGCAGAUCGGAUGCGGAUUAUUGGUGCACACCUUGGAGCUCUUUCCCAGCAUUCUGCCAAUAAAGCUCCUGAAAUUACAGGUAGCUCCAACCGGACACGCCCUCCUAUCACAACCCAUGUGCUGGACACGGCUCUUGGAUCGCCAGCAGCUGGAAUUGAAGUUCACCUGGAGAUGUGGAAGGACGCGUCAAGUCCCCCGUCAUUUGACAACAAAGAAUUCAAGGGAUGGACAACCCUAGGCACUUCGAUAACAAACAAUGAUGGACGCAGCGGUCAGCUGAUGGACAUCGUUGACAAUGUCGCCCCUGGUUUCUACCGCAUAAGUUUCAAUACCUCCAAGUAUGCACCGUCAGGGUUCUUCCCUUACAUGAGCAUCAUAUUUGAGAUAAAAAGAAGCCAGACGACCGAGCAUUUCCAUGUUCCUCUUUUGCAUUCUCCCUUUUCCUUUACCACUUACCGUGGCAGCUAA
rnacentral:rRNA from 1 species